CAGACACGGGGAGAACAUGAAGACCCAGGACGUUCUGUGAGGUCACAGUGCUAACCACUGAGCCACCAUGCGCCCUGACAUGCUGCACCACGCCGCUCAGACGUCCACCGCGCUGAGCCAAGACAUGGAGCUGCUGUCCUGAGGAGGAGGUUUUCAUUUUCAUGGUGGUCAGAGGUGCAACACAUUUGAAGCAGAGAGGGCAGAUGAACACUGACUCUCAGCCUGAGCUGGAAUCAGGAUGUCGUCCUAGCUUAGCAUAAAGACUGGAAGCACGGGGAAACAGGAGCUGUUCGCGACUUCACGAGGGAGGGAGAUGUGGGAUAGACAGAAGGUCAAAAACAGAUUUUAUCCUCAUAAAAUAAGAAACAAACAAACAGCCUUC